AGUGAACGCUGGCGGUAGGCCUAACACAUGCAAGUCGAACGGCAGCACAGUAAGAGCUUGCUCUUACGGGUGGCGAGUGGCGGACGGGUGAGGAAUACAUCGGAAUCUACUUUUUCGUGGGGGAUAACGUAGGGAAACUUACGCUAAUACCGCAUACGACCUACGGGUGAAAGCAGGGGAUCUUCGGACCUUGCGCGAUUGAAUGAGCCGAUGUCGGAUUAGCUAGUUGGCGGGGUAAAGGCCCACCAAGGCGACGAUCCGUGGCUGGUCUGAGAGGAUGAUCAGCCACACUGGAACUGAGACACGGUCCAGACUCCUACGGGAGACAGCAGUGGGGAAUAUUGGACAAUGGGCGCAAGCCUGAUCCAGCCAUACCGCGUGGGUGAAGAAGGCCUUCGGGUUGUAAAGCCCUUUUGUUGGGAAAGAAAAGCAGCAGGUUAAUACCCCGCUGUUCUGACGGUACCCAAAGAAUAAGCACCGGCUAACUUCGUG
rnacentral:rRNA from 1 species